rnacentral:rRNA from 1 species
GCCCGCUCAAGAAACUUAAUGAAUUGGACGGGGCCCGCACAAGCGGUGGAGUAUGUGGUUUAAUUCGAUGCAACGCGAAGAACCUUACCUGGUCUUGACAUCCCGGAGACCCUUAGGAAACUAGGGGGUGCUUCCAUCUGGAAGAAUCUGGAGACAGGUGCUGCAUGGCUGUCGUCAGCUCGUGUCGUGAGAUGUUGGGUUAAGUCCCGCAACGAGCGCAACCCUUGCCUUUAGUUGCCAGCAGUUCGGCUGGGCACUCUAAAGGGACUGCCGGUGUUAAACCGGAGGAAGGUGGGGAUGACGUCAAGUCCUCAUGGCCUUUAUGACCAGGGCUACACACGUACUACAAUGGCCGAUACAAAGGGCAGCGACACUGCGAGGUGAAGCCAAUCCCGUAAAAUCGGUCUCAGUCCGGAUUGGAGUCUGCAACUCGACUCCAUGAAGUUGGAAUCGCUAGUAAUCGUGGAUCAGCAUGCCACGGUGAAUACGUUCCCGGGCCUU